rnacentral:misc_RNA from 1 species
GAUCAUUACAGAGUUACUACUCCAAACCCAUUGUGAACCUUACCUAUGUUCUGUUGCCUCGGCGGCGUGGUCAGCGCCCCCUCUGAAAAGAGGACGAUGCCCUCCCGCCGGCAGCACCAAACUCUUUGAAUUUUACAGCGGAUUACAGUUCUGAUUUGAAAACAAAAAACAAGUUAAAACUUUCAACAACGGAUCUCUUGGUUCUGGCAUCGAUGAAGAACGCAGCGAAAUGCGAUAAGUAAUGUGAAUUGCAGAAUUCAGUGAAUCAUCGAAUCUUUGAACGCACAUUGCGCCCGGCAGUAAUCUGCCGGGCAUGCCUGUCCGAGCGUCAUUUCAACCCUCGAACCUCCGUUUCCUCAGGGAAGCUCAGGGUCGGUGUUGGGGCGCUACGGCGAGUCUUCGCGACCCUCCGUAGGCCCUGAAAUACAGUGGCGGUCCCGCCGCGGUUGCCUUCUGCGUAGUAAGUCUCUUUUGCAAGCUCGCAUUGGGUCCCGGCGGAGGCCUGCCGUCAAACCACCUAUAACUCCAGAUGGUUUGACCUCGGAUCAGGUAGGGUUACCCGCUGAACUUAAGCAUAUCA